GGAAGUUUAGAACACCGUCGUGGAGAAGAAGGGUGUGCUCAACCCCACAAAUCCCGCUUUCCACUUUGAAAUCGAAGCUAUGCAAUUAACCCAUUCAUUGAAGGGUCCAAGUCCCUGGGACAUACACGUCACAGACAGGCUGUUCCUGACCCUCUGGGCAUCAGCAUUUAAAGAAGAGUCUUAACUGGUCCUAAGCCUCCUUUCACUCUGUAAUAAAACCCAGGGCCUCUUACUUGAAAUCCAGAAGUCUUCACAACGUGCAUGGCCCCGUGGUAUUACCGACAGAUGGCUGCUAAAAUCCCAAUGAGCUUGGGUUUCCUAAGGAGAAGAACUUGGCCUGGUCAGAAUUAUCACCAAAUACAUCACCAAUUGGAUAAGAAAGCUGAGGCUGAGAAAUUAAGCAACUUGGCCAAGAUUGCCCUGAGACCUAACUCCAAAAGUCCCUGCUCUUCACCCUUGACGCAAUCCUGUCACCCAUGAUGAGAGUGUAGUUUUUCAAACUGGCCAGUGGAAGUCUGCUCAGAGCACUAAAGCAUCUUUGUGCGAUUAUGAAGCUCCUAGGAAGAGGGGGGGCCAGGAAGGCUGAUGGAGAUCCACAAACCUAUUCACUGUGAGGUACCCAAGAGACCAACGGUAUGAACCCUCCCGGUGGACACACACCCAGAAGCAAGGCGCCUUCUGAUCCACCCUGAGCAGGCAGCUGCCCCCACCAGCUGGUCAGCCACACUUCCAGUUCCCAGAACCAACCUCCAAGAUCUCUGACCCCUGGCCGCCCUAGGGGUCCAGAGCCAAAGAAAAUGGAAGCAGAUGGGCAAAUGAUUUUGGAGGAACCUACUUCUUAUCUUUUCACCUUUAAGGCUGACCCAUAUAAACACAGAGUACAGUAGGACUGCCUUUAUUGCUGAGUAAUAAAUGUAGGGGUUAAAAAAAAUAUACAAAGACUACUGACUAUCAAGAACAAGAAACCGGACCUAAGAGUUCUGGCUCCCAGUCAAUCACCGCGCCACUGACUUACGCCCCACAGAGCACGCUACCAUGGCUAAUUUCUCUCCAGAUGGCAGCUUGUACUUUUCCAGGCAGAAUCUCAUCUCCCCAAGCUUUGCCUCACCUUUCUACAGCUCUUUGUAUUUUCCCAACGGCCUCUUGUGUGCAGAGGGCUUUGCAACACCUCCAAAUUUACUGCCACCUACAGAUUUAAUUAGCAGACUGUUUACUCCCCCUUCACUGUUUGGAAUAUCUUAAGUAAAACCAGGCCUCCACGGAGCCCACAGGGACUCCACCCUGGGCCUCCAUCCAAUCAGCUAAGAGUGUUUGCCCAGCUCCAACCCUGGGUCUGGCCCUUGUCCAAGGCAAGUCUGUGCUGGGAGCCAGCCACUGGGCACCAGGUGAGGGCCUUCCACCCCUGGGGUUGCCUGAGUGAGAGGAGACUGCAGAAGGAAGGGCCAAGGUGGUCAAAUAAAAUGAAGCAACACUCAGUUAAGGCAAGGCUUUACUGGUUAAAAGAAAGGGGACAGACAGGCCAGCUGGAGACACAUUUUUCAGGACUUCUCCAUGUGACCCAUACCUUAGAAGAAAAAGAAGCAGGAUGACAUGGAGGGAGAGAGAGAAUGAAAAAAAUGGAGAAAGCAGGACCAGAAGGGGAAGGAGAGCAGGAGAGAAGGAAAAAGAAUGAUCUGCUUUUUUAUUAACCAUUAACUACCUCAAUUAACAAAUAUAAUCUGAAUAUGCAUUUUAUGUACAAUAACACAGGAGUUAAAAAAAAUAAAACAGAGCCAGCCCUGAUGGUCUACAGGUUAAAGCUUGGUGCGCUCUGCCUCGGCAGCCCGGGUUCAGUUCCCAGGAGUGCAACCACACCACUUAUUUGUCAGUAGCCAUGCUCUGGUGGCAGCUCACACAGAAGAACUUACAACUAUACACAACUAUGUACUAGAGAUUUGGGAGAGAAAAAGGAAGAAAAAAGGGGGAAGAUUGGCAACAGAUGUUAGCUUAGGGCUAAUCUUCCCCUGCAAAAAAAAAUAAAUAAACAAUAAAUUUGACAAAUAAAUGAAAAAUAAAACAAGAUGUUGCAUCACAAGGAUUUUGGCAUCCAUCAGGGGAAACACACCAGCAACCAACAGCAAGGGGAACAAGUAUGAAACCAAAAGCAACCAAUGCAAACAGGCAUGUAGUUCCUUCUUCAGGGGAGCCAUUUAAUGAUGCAAGGACUGACGAAUUACUCUGGCUGGAGAGCAGGAAUGGGGAUUACACAGAAGCCUCCUCCUGAACCAACUAAAACCAGGCACAGUCCUAGACGCCCAGACCCAAACAGCACAACACUGAUGGCUUGCUAUGGAUACGACAAGCCAACGCGUGAAAUCUCGUCUCGAUACGCUGUGCCUCCCCUCCUUGGCUAUGCUACGGCUUGUAUGCUCUUGAUUAAUUUUUCCUAAACUAUUUCAAGGUUUUGUGACAACUCUUACUUCUUUAUUCUUAAGCUUUUAAAAGGGAGUCAAGCAAUUAAAUAUGCA
ensembl:lncRNA